GAUGAACGCUGGCGGCGUGCCUAAUACAUGCAAGUCGAGCGAACAGACGAGGAGCUUGCUCCUCUGACGUUAGCGGCGGACGGGUGAGUAACACGUGGAUAACCUACCUAUAAGACUGGGAUAACUUCGGGAAACCGGAGCUAAUACCGGAUAAUAUAUUGAACCGCAUGGUUCAAUAGUGAAAGACGGUUUUGCUGUCACUUAUAGAUGGAUCCGCGCCGCAUUAGCUAGUUGGUAAGGUAACGGCCUACCAAGGCAACGAUGCGUAGCCGACCUGAGAGGGUGAUCAGCCACACCGGAACUGAGACACGGUCCAGACUCCCAAGGGAGGCAGCAGUUGGGAAUAUUUCCCAAUGGGCGGAAGCCUGAACGAGCCACCCCGCGUGGGUGAAGAAGGUCUUCGGGUUGUAAAACCCUUUUUUUAGGGAAGAACAAAUGUGUAAGUAACUAUGCACGUCUUGACGGUACCUAAUCAGAAAGCCACGGCUAACUACGUG
rnacentral:rRNA from 1 species